rnacentral:rRNA from 1 species
AGUGAACGCUGGCGGUAGGCCUAACACAUGCAAGUCGAACGGCAGCACGGUAAGAGCUUGCUCUUACGGGUGGCGAGUGGCGGACGGGUGAGGAAUACAUCGGAAUCUACUUUUUCGUGGGGGAUAACGUAGGGAAACUUACGCUAAUACCGCAUACGACCUACGGGUGAAAGCAGUGGAUCUUCGGACCUUGCGCGAUUGAAUGAGCCGAUGUCGGAUUAGCUAGUUGGCGGGGUAAAGGCCCACCAAGGCGACGAUCCGUAGCUGGUCUGAGAGGAUGAUCAGCCACACUGGAACUGAGACACGGUCCAGACUCCUACGGGAGGCAGCAGUGGGGAAUAUUGGACAAUGGGCGCAAGCCUGAUCCAGCCAUACCGCGUGGGUGAAGAAGGCCUUCGGGUUGUAAAGCCCUUUUGUUGGGAAAGAAAAGCAGCAGGUUAAUCCCCCGCUGUUCUGACGGUACCCAAAGAAUAAGCACCGGCUAACUUCGUG